ensembl:lncRNA
AGCAGUCGAUGUAUUUGAAAUAAAUGAAGAUUGCCAAACUUGCUGAGAUUUUAAAGAGUUAAGGUCUGGAAUCUAGCCAUAAUGCUGACACUUCUACCUUGUGCUACGGCUCGAAGAUAGCGAAGGGCCCCUUCUACCUGACUAUUGCUCUCCAGCACUCGGUACGAAGAAAGCUUAAAGUCCUGCUUAAUAGUCCUGUUCUAUUAUCACAGAACAUAUUUCAAAUGGUAAAUUCCAAGUUGGGAAAAAACCUGAACUGCUGACCUGGGCAGAUUCCCACAGAUGAGAGAGAAAUUUUUGAAGUCCAGCCUUCCUGAAGGGAGAUUCCAGCAUGCAAUUGGUGCUAUGGAGAGGGAGUUUAAGUCACAGUUAAAAAACUUCCCACAAAGAAAACUCCAGGUCCAGUUUUUGUAAAAGUAUGCAUAAAAUUGAUACUUCUCCUUUGAUGAAAUUAGCCACUGGAGUCACAUGAGUCUGGAAUUUUCUUUGUGGAGUUUUAAACUACAAACCCAACUAACAUAAUAGGUGUAAACGAUUCAGGGUGAUUCACACAAGCUGGGAUUUGGUUCUCACCUUCAAAGAAAAUGUCCUGAAGUAAAGGAGAGUUUUGGUGCAGUAUUCAAAGGAUACAUUUUCUAGCUGCUGCUUGUGUCUGCUUGUGUUCACUGACUACUUUUCCAGGCUGGAUUCUGCUCCUUCUUGGCUAAGAUUCUGAGGCCUGCUGCCUUCCUUCUUAAGCCUGUGAGGUUCUCUGGUUCCUGUUAGCUUUGUAGGCUACCUUAAGCAUCAGUGACUUCUGAUAUCAUAAGUAUAUACUCUUAUUCCAAUUCUUUGGGUACUUGAUCCUCAACUCAAACACUGUCACCAACUUCCAUACUCAAGGGGAGCCUUUCCCCAUCUUUUUGGUCCCUUGUUCUAAUGCCAGCUCCCCUGUUACACCUCCUGACAUCUGAGCACAUAAGCUGUUGCCCAUGGCCUGGCAAAUUGUUGAGUAAUCAAAUUGUUGAACAUCUUGAUGCUGUCUGGACUACCCCAAAGAUGAAUAUGAAUGAAGCUGCUAUUGAGUUUGAAAAACCUUGAGUCCCUGGUGGAAAAAAAUGGAUAAUCACUAAAGUUACAUAAUUUUGAACUGCGUGCAAUAAUCAGCUCUCCUCUGGAAUCAUAAUGAAAAGAUAUGAUUACACUUUUAAUUAGGAAAUUAUCAUAAUUUGUACUGAAAUAAAAAACAAUGUGGAAG